GGUUGGAAAUCUCACUGCUGUGUGAUCCUGAACCAUUUUCCGGGGCGUUCUUGGCUUUUCUCGAUCCACCUUGGUGGCAGCACAAAGCCAGGAGGUGGCACUGCCAGGCAGCGCGUCCGGUCUCGCUCUGAGCCCGCUUCCAGCCUUUGUAAAUAACAAAAGUUUUCUUCUUUGUACCUGCCCUGGCAGCUCGGGAGAUUCCCCUGGGAUCCAGGAGGGCUCAGGAGGGAUCCGAGGGCUCUGGGGAUUUGUGACCACCACGAGUCUCCUUCAGCAUCCCUUGACUCAGCCUCGUUUGUCCUGGGUACACCUGGGCCAAUUUUCCGUCUUUCCUUCCCGUUAACUCUCCCAAGGAAAAGCAACACAGGCACCGAGUGUGGGAUUGCACUUUUUUCUUCCCCAAAAAGGAAUUUAACUCUGAUUUCCUGACCAAAACCACCCAUUGCUGUGAUGGUUUGCUCUCCAUGGUGGGGUUGGAGGUUUUCUGGUCCAUCUUCUCCCAGAUAUUGUGGGUGUUUCUGGAAAAUAAGCAGUUCUGGAAGAAACAAAGUUGGAAGCUCCUGGGUUUAGAGGCUGGAGAAGAUCCUUUGAUGGGACAAGCACUGCACACAUUGUUUGCAUUUGUUAUUCCAGUUCUGGAUUAUUUACCAUGAGACACCAUGCACCAGGUGUUGGGGGUUUUAUUGGCAGAGGUUCUUAUUUACAGCAGAAUCCAAGGAAACAGGAAAGGCCUGAAGGAUUGCUGAGCUGCUCUCACCAAAACCUUCAGCCACAAAAUCUCAGCAGAAAUUCCAGAACAGAGACAACACCUCCUGGAGAGGAUUUCAUCAUCAACACCUGGCAGUGUCCUGGUCACCAUCCCAGCCACAAAGUCUGGAAUGAAGGAAGAAGCGCAGCGAGGGAGGCACACCUUUCCUGAGGGAAAACAACGUGUGAACCAAACCAGAGGGAAAAAGGAAGGAAAAGGAGACAAAAAGAAGGAAGAAGGAGGCUCCUGGUCCUUGCUGUGCUGAGGGGGCUCCAUCCCAGGGAUGCUCUGGGCACCCCGAGCCUGGUGCUGUGCAGGGGGGUCAGACCAGGGAGGAAGGUGCAGCUGAAGUCAGCAGGGCUCGGAUGUGCUGUGUCAUUUCCCAGCUUUAAUAGGCGGAAGCGAAACAAGGAGGGAAAUUAAUCCAAGGCAGGCAAUGACUCUGAUUCUCCCCGAACAAUGCCUCGUGCCCAGGAGAUGGCAUUCGCAGAAUUCCUGCGGAAGAGGCGUCAGGGGACAUUGUUUGGAGUUUUCCUCGCAGGAGACCUGAAGAUGGAUGAAAAAUCUUCAUUUUCAGUGCCCAGCACUCCCCGUGGCACCGUCAGUCCAGAGGGAGGUGGAACAAUCUGGAGGGAGGGGCUUUGGAGCCGUCCAGGCUGUUCUUGCUGGCUGAUGGAAUUUUUUUAGUCUAAAUAAAGUUUUCCUGCUCUUCCCA
rnacentral:lncRNA from 1 species